rnacentral:rRNA from 1 species
CUUUCUUUGCUGGCGACCGGCGCACGGGUGAGUAACACGUAUCCAACCUGCCCUUUACUCGGGGAUAGCCUUUCGAAAGAAAGAUUAAUACCCGAUAGCAUAAUGAUUCCGCAUGGUUUCAUUAUUAAAGGAUUCCGGUAAAGGAUGGGGAUGCGUUCCAUUAGGUUGUUGGUGAGGUAACGGCUCACCAAGCCUUCGAUGGAUAGGGGUUCUAAGAGGAAGGUCCCCCACAUUGGAACUGAGACACGGUCCAA